UUGAAGACAUGACAUCGGUGAAUUGGAUCACUUAUUGCAAACUUGAAACGUAUGGUGUCGCCUUCAUUGAAAUUAUUCAAUGCGCAGAAUUUGUGCCAGUAGUUAUCAAUUUGGGUCUUGAUUGGAUUUGUUUUUGUUGCAACAAACGAAAAAGGAUAAGUGGUGUCAUCAUCUCCACAAAGUAAUAAAUUAGGAAAUCGAUUGGAAGUAACGUAAUCUGCA
rnacentral:lncRNA from 1 species